rnacentral:rRNA from 1 species
GCAAGUCGAACGGUAAGUUAGAAGCUCGCUUUUAACACGAGUGGCGAACGGGUGCGUAACGCGUAUGCAAUUUACCCUCUUCUGGAGAAUAGCCCUUAGAAAUGAGGAUUAAUACUCCAUAGUAUAAUAAUUUCGCAUGUUAUUAUUAUUAAAGCUUCGGCGGAAGAGGAUGAGCAUGCGUCCCAUUAGUUUGUUGGUGAGGUAACGGCUCACCAAGACUACGAUGGGUAGGGGGCCUGAGAGGGUUAUC